rnacentral:lncRNA from 1 species
GCCCGUCACCAGCACCCUCCGUGAGCCACGCGUCACACACAAAGCUGCACAGUCUGCGUGAGCAGGCAUGUGGGCAUGCCUCCCACGAACCGGGGCCGUGGUCCACACAGAGCAUGGUCCUCUUGCUGCUCCUGCAGUCACAGCUCGCGUGCCGUCAGGACAGGGUCGUUUCGAGCGGAGCUGAUGCUGUUCUUGGCCGACAAGCAGGAGAGAGUCAUGGCAGCUUUGAGAAUAGGCUGUGCCAGAUGGAGGCCCAACUGGAGGAGAAGAACAAGGAGCUGCACCUACCCCACUUGGGCAGUGCCCUGGACCUCAAGUUCCUGGUGGCAGACUGGCCGGCAGACUACUCAGGAGAUGGGGCAGUGCUGCGAUGCCUCCAGAAAGGCCAGCUGGCAGCGCUGCAUGAUGAGCCACCAGAAGCAAGGACCCCGCUGCCCCCUUCCCGUCCCUGGUGGGCACCUUGUGAGGCACCUGCCCCCUCACACUGUGCUCCUGAGAGUUCCCGAUUCCCAGUGGAAAAGACUUGAGGCACUGACGUGCAUCUCUGCCCUGAGAGCAGGGGAGGUAAGGGUUGUCAACCUGAAGUAUCUCCUCACAGAAAGAGUCACCACCAGGGCCCCUUCAGAAUGUUAG